AUGGCUUCCAACUACGUGGACACCACGGGGGAGGAGUGAAGGUUCCACAGCCACGGCCACGGCCACCACAGCAACAGCACGACACCGACUGGCGAGGCGGUGUCGCCCGAAGAAUACGCGGACGAGGUAGCCGGGUCGACGUCGGCGCCGUCCGGCGCGGGCCACGGUCCCGCUUCCAAGUGCGUCUGCGCGCCGGCCACCCACGUCGGGUCCUUCAAGUGUCGCUUCCACCGCACCAACUCCUAGGGCCACGGCCACGACUAG
rnacentral:rRNA from 1 species